CCCCCUGGGCCACCUCUUCGUGUCCGCCCAGGAGCCCAGGAGUGGCCCGUGGCAUUCCGCUGUUCGUGCGGAAGCAUGGGAAGCAGGAGGCUGGAGGUGCAGCGGGGGUGCUGUUUUCCAUCGGAAAUCACGAGGGGUUUGACUUUGUGUGAUAAGACUGGAGCAGAAGCCAGCCGUUUUCUUUUUCAUCCUAGUUGUAGUUGCCACUCCAUUAUGACCCCUUGGAAAGCUCCUAAUAUGGGUCUUAUAUGAGAAAUUCAGAUUUAAACUGUGAAAUUUAAUACUUGUAUUAGAAUUAAAAAUAAAACGUCAGACUGCUGAUAGUCUUUUCUAUCCCAUAAUAACUUCAUUUAAUAUUUUUAUCUGUUUCUUCUAAUAUAUAUUUUUAUCUUCCUCAGGCAUUUUCUGAUAUUUAAUGGUUUUCCAGUCAAGAUAGAAUCUAUUGACUUGUGGGAUGAAGAUUUAGAUUUCACUGUAUCACUGGACAUGGUUUGAAUAGGUUGUUCAAAGUCGUGAUAAAGAACCUAACCUACCUAACUUGUAGAACCGUAGGCUUGCUAAUGUUGCUGCUAGUGUGAAAAUCUUUUUAGUUAAUGUUUGCUUUUUGGUGAUACCCUCCACAUGUACCUAGUUCUAAGCCUUUGCCUCUGUACCAAAAUCCAACAAUCUCUGUUUUAUUUAUUUUUUUUUGCAGAGAAGCUGUAGAAUUUGGCCCAGUACCUGGUUCUUAAGACCGUCCAGAUGAUAUAGGGGAAUGAAACUUCCACCCUACUACAUGUCCCAGUAGGAGUUCAUGUUCCCUAAAAUCAAAGAAUGAAUUUUAGGAACAAAAGUGGUUGAGAGUAGAAUAUAUUUAUUGAGAGAAAGAAUUUCUCUGAGAGAGAGACAGAAAGGGGUCCUGAAUGGGUUGCCAAAGACCAUCUUUUAAUAGGGACUUUUUAGAGUUAAACCAUGAGAUGAGAUGGGGCCAAGAUGGGAAAAACUGGGAACUCACAGGCAGACAGGCAUGAGGUGGGACAGAACUGUGGUCAACCAAUAAGAUUAACUGUUCAAGUAAAAUUGACCAAAUCAGGGACGAAUGGGGAAACCGAGUCACAGAGCAAGCAGACAUUCUUAAUGGAACAGUGACUCUUCUUAUAGAGGGCUGGGAUGGUCUCUAUUUAGAAUAUCAAUACUUGGGGUGUAGUUGCAUUCAUUUGCAGUUUGUUUUGAGUUCCGGUCCAAAGCAGAGGUAUCCAUUUCCUCCAAGUUUGGAAGGUAUCUGGUUUUCUGCAUUGGCUCCGUUAGAGAGUCCAGCCCUGUUUGACUGCCUACAAUAUUUCUAACUUACUUAGCUGCCUAUAACACAGAUAUUAGCAUACAGAGAAAGCCAGUCAACAGCAAUAACUAUCACAUUGGCUAUAGUACUGUUAUGGUUUGUGUCUGGAUAUGCUCCCAAAGCAUAUGCAAUCAUGGGGACAGGCUUCUAGAAUUUGUGAUUGAUUCAUGGUCCAAUGCUGGGAUUACAUCCACCCUAGGGUGUGUGGCUUACAUAAAAUAUAAGGGACAGAAAGAGUCUUCUCUCUGCACUCCUCUGCUUUUUGCUCUUGUAGCUUUUGCUGUCUUCUGCUGCCAUGAACCAUUGCCCUCUGCUAUGUGCCACUCAGCCCUGGAUCCAGCCAAGUAUGGACUGAAACCUCCACAAACUGUAAAAGAACAACAGAGAAGAUAUUCACAGAGUUUAACAUUCAUCAGAGGCUUACUAAAGAUGCUGGAGGAACACAGCAGUGUCAGAAAUAACUAAGAUAACAGGUGACUUUGAAUGUUGUUUUCUUACAAAAGCCACAGAGACAGACCUGCUCAGGAUGGAUGGCAAAUGCUAUCUUGCAAAGGGCUGGAAAUGCACACAACAGUUUGUGCAUGAGAUAGUUGUUCCAGGUCAAGGACUCUGGCUUCAUCAUUGGGCUGCAGGAUCUCAAAAUUGCACUGUGGUGAUCACAGUAUAGACUCUAGAGUUAGAUUUUUCUGUAUUUCAAUCCUAGUUCUGCUUCUUGCCAUUUGUAUAAUGGUAGUAAGUUACUUCUUUGUAUAUUAUUUUCCUCAUCUAUGAAAUGAAGAUAAUAGUACUGUUAAUGAUACAAAGUUGUUUAUGAGGAUAAAAACAAGCAUUUAGAAGGGGAAUUGAUACCAUAAUAUAUAGUUUUUCUUUAAACUUGCAUAAUACAAAAGAUGCUAUGCCAGGUGUACUUUAUGUAUUAACUCACUGCGGAAUUGACCUUCUAUGUUGAUGUUUAACUCACCCUGAUAGGCAGAUUAGAAAAUAGUUGGCAAACAGUGAAAACUUAUUGCAUUGCUGCCUGCAAGUCAAUAUUUAAAUGCUAACUCAACUGAUUAGGAGGGAUAAUUAUUAUACACUAUAAAAUUAAAAAAUAUAGAAGGUCUGCAGAGUCCUUCCUGAAGAUUAUGUAAGUGAUGCAAAGAGCACAAUUUUGGAGCAUGCAACUAUGCAUUUGAACUCUGAUUCUGCUAAUAAUUAACUGUGUGACCUUGGGCAUGUUAUUUACUAUUUCUGAUUCUUAGCUACCUUAUUUGUUGAUUGGUAAAAAUACUACUACUAUUUAGGGUGGUAUUUUCCCAUAGAAUUACAGUCAUGUAAUUGUUAGGCAAUGUUUGCCCUUGUGUGAACAUCACAGAGUGUACUUACAUAAGCGAAGACAUCAUUAUAUCAAUAUGUAAUAUGAGCACAUUGUUGUGUAUACAGUCCACUGUGAUCAAGACAUGAUUAUGUGCCAUUUGACUAUCCCCUGAGUGAUAAUUUUCUACUUAAUUUCUACUUUGAAAAAUGCUGGAAUAGAGGUGAUUUUUUGAGUCAGUUUUUAAAGAAUAAAUUUUUGAGCUCUAGAUUUUGGAAAGGCUUUUUGGUUUACUUGUAAGACAUACAGAAGGGUGUAUGUAGAAAGUUUGAAGAAUUUCAAGAAGGAGGUAGAUAAUUAUGCUUUUUUGGGUUGAUCAUGGGAGACAAUGGCUGUUGUUGCCUCUAAUGGGAGCAGCCCUUGUAGUCUUUUUUGUUUUCAUGAUUGUGAGAUUGUGUAGGUGAUCAGUUCUCAGUCCUCAGAUUACGGAUGAGAGAACUGAGGCCAGGUAGAGAAGUGAUAUCACACUUGUGGUGUCAACUUGUGCUAGACACAGAAACAGGACUCAGUAUUUCUGGCUUCUCUGGUCAGAAAGGAGCUGAGGUUCCAGCAUAGUCUUUUGUAGUCUUCAAUGGGAAUGUACUACUAAGCAUUCUGAGUCCCUGUCAUGUAAGAUUAUUCGUUAUUAUCUGAAGUUUCUAGUUUAGUGCCUCUGCUAGGUGACCAGUCUCUGGCUGCUAGCUUCCAGAAAUGCCUGGAGGAAAGAUGUUUUUUGGGCUUUACUGAUUCCUGUUGCUAAGAAUACCUCAGUGGGACUCACCAAAAGACUCUUCUUUCUGUGGUCUCACAUGUUAGAAUGGGCAAGGCAGCUCUCUGGGUCCUCCUUUUUAGGGUACUAGUCCCCUUCUUUCUUUGAAAUGGAAACUGGAUGAUAUAAAAUCCUUGACAGACCAGUGUGAUAGCAAUAUCAAGAUGCUGCCUUUGUGUGCCCCAGGGACAGGAGGACUGCUGCCUCACAUGUAUGUCAUUCAUGGAGUAGAAAAGAACAAAUGAGGUACAGGGUGGGCUGACAGCAUCUGCUUAGGAGCAGGAAUAAAUGAAGCAUCCUGUCAGAAGAGUUUAUUUCCACCUUCAUCUUAUUAUAAGGGAAGGAACGUGAGUUUUGAAGGGAGAGAUCUUGGAAUACAUUGUACCUACAUCUAGAUGAUCUUAGCCUAUUUAUUUGAAGUCACCCUUGGUUCCAAAGUCAGAGCAAAAGAAUCUGUACACAUGGGGUUGGAAGAUACAUUAUGGCCUGUCCCAUAGUGGCAGAGAUACAGGACAGACUGUCCUAGAUCCAGUUUCCAUCCCUGGUUCUAAUACAGAUGAGCUGGUGGCUUUCAGCAGUCUGCUUGAUCUCGGCUUUGCCACCUCUAAAUGAGUAAUAAAGGGCCAAAAGACUUCUGUUGGUCUUAACAACUCUGUUUGGGAAGGAGAUCCAAACCAUUUUUUCCUCCUGAUCAUUUCAGGAAGUGGCUUCCUUUUGGUAGUUUUCUGCCACUUUCUCAGCAUCAUCCUUGCAGGGUAAGAACCAGCAACUUUAAGUGAGUGUGCCAAGAAGUCUUGGCUAUUGUGAAAUAACAGCUAAUCUACUUAUGACUCCAGUAAAUGUCAGAAACACUAAGUAUUGCUUAUGAUGGUGCUCCCUAAAAUUUCUUGUGACUAUGAAAGAUCACAUCUCACUGAUACAUUGUUUAGAUAUUCAGAAUAACUUCCUGGAGAAGACCUUGACUUCUCCAGGUAUGAAUGGUGCUGAGAGAAGAAUCAACAGGGUCUUGUUUGUGGUGGCUGGGUCAGCACAGUCCUUGGGUCCUAUGGUCAGGGUUCUGGUCACAUUCUGGUACAUUUUUCAAUGCAGCCCUUGAUGUUUUCUGUCCCAGUUUCUUAUGAUUGGGAUCUAGAAUGUUCCCUGGAAGGCUUGAUUGCCAGCUGAUGGACUUUUAGGAAUUGACUGGAUCAUAGGGCUGUAAUUUUACCAGUGGAUCAACCCAUUGUUUGAUUCAUAAUUUUUUCAUAUUGAAAAAUGAUGGAUUCUUAGGAGGUGAAGCUUAAUGGUGAACCCGGGGGCUUUGAAGACUGUGUUUUGUCCCCAUUUCCUUCUAAUUUGGCUUUCUCAUUCUUUCUGUUUGCUGCUGGUGAGGUGAACAGAUAUGCUCUGCUAUGUUUUCUCUGCUAUGAUGCUCUGCCUCAUGCAGGCCCAGAGACAAUGCAGUCAAGCAAUCAUAGAUUGAAACCUUUGUAAAUCUGAAUAAACAUUUCUUCUUUUAAGCUGUUAUUCUCAGGUAUUUUGUCACAGCUAACACACAAUUCUUAUCUAUGAAGACACAUGCGAUGUCACAGGAAAAAAAACCAACAUUCUAGAUGUCCUUCAGAGUAUUACAGGAAGACAUUUCAGACUAUCUGUGGAAGAUGUAUGUGGAGAUCUCAGCCAAAAUUUAACUAAUAUUAAACUUGGCCCAUUCUUCGUCAUGCUGUAUUGAGGAAAAAAAGUCUACAAAUAGUAGACUAGAGUGGUAGAGAGACUCAGAUUAUGGCCUGAUGGUUUACUGAAAGUUUAGAAUAUCCCAAACUAGAAAAGAUGAUUAGAGAUAUUGUUAUCUAUGGAGGACCACCUGGAUAACUGUCCUUUACAAAUGAGCAAUUAUCUUCACUUUGGCUAAACCUGGCCCUAUUUCCAUGUACCCAAAUGUACAGAUCAGGCUCAGGCCAUUUCCUUUUCCCUUCAAUUGGCUCUAAGCAAUGUAGAUAGGGCUAGCUGAGGGGCUGACGUGUAAUCUUUGAAGCUAGGUGAUAGUUGCUAGGUGACAGUGGCUGUUUCCCUGCUCCAUGACUCCCCAAA